GACGAACCGAGCGAACGUUGUUCGGAAUCACUGGGCUUAAAGGGCGCGUAGGCGGUCUGUCAAGUCUGGGGUGAAAUCCCACGGCUCAACCGUGGAACUGCCUUAGAUACUGACGGCCUCGAGGGAGAUAGGGGCGAGCGGAACUGUGAGUGGAGCGGUGAAAUGCGUUGAUAUUCACAGGAACUCCGGUGGCGAAGGCGGCUCGCUGGAUCUUUUCUGACGCUGAGGCGCGAAAGCUAGGGGAGCAAACGGG
rnacentral:rRNA from 1 species